rnacentral:tRNA from 1 species
GGAGAGAUGUCCGAGUGGCUUAAGGAGCACGCCUGGAAAGCGUGUGUGGGAUAAAACUCACCGAGAGUUCAAAUCUCUCUCUCUCCGCCA